CCUUGAUGAUGAAUGUAGUGUAAAUGACAAGCAUAUGUCUGAACGAUGGUGAUGUCAUCUUACUACUGAAAGU